rnacentral:rRNA from 1 species
GACGAACGCUGGCGGCGUGCCUAAUACAUGCAAGUAGAACGCUGAAGGAGGAGCUUGCUUCUCUGGAUGAGUUGCGAACGGGUGAGUAACGCGUAGGUAACCUGCCUGGUAGCGGGGGAUAACUAUUGGAAACGAUAGCUAAUACCGCAUAAUAGCAGUUAUUGCAUGAUAACUGUUUGAAAGGUGCAAUUGCACCACUACCAGAUGGACCUGCGUUGUAUUAGCUAGUUGGUGGGGUAACGGCUCACCAAGGCGACGAUACAUAGCCGACCUGAGAGGGUGAUCGGCCACACUGGGACUGAGACACGGCCCAGACUCCUACGAGAGGCAGCAGUAGGGAAUCUUCGGCAAUGGACGGAAGUCUGACCGAGCAACGCCGCGUGAGUGAAGAAGGUUUUCGGAUCGUAAAGCUCUGUUGUAAGAGAAGAACGAGUGUGAGAGUGGAAAGUUCACACUGUGACGG